rnacentral:rRNA from 1 species
GUAUCAUGGCUCAGGACGAACGCUGGCGGCGUGCCUAAUACAUGCAAGUUGAACGCUUGAUUUUCACCGAAGCUUGCUUCACCGAAAAUCAAGAGUAGCGAACGGGUGAGUAACGCGUGGGUAACCUACCUUUCAGCGGGGGAUAACUAUUGGAAACGAUAGCUAAUACCGCAUAAUAAUGUUGGAUGCAUAUUCGGACAUUUGAAAGUACCAACUGGUACACUGAGAGAUGGACCCGCGUUGUAUUAG